rnacentral:rRNA from 1 species
ACCUGGCACACUGCAGCUGAAGACACCGGAUCUUGUCUGAUCUCCAAAGCUAAGCAGGGUCUGGCCUGAUUCACCUUUAGAUAGCAGACCAGCAGCAGGGAUCCCCAGGUA